rnacentral:rRNA from 1 species
UACGGAGGGGACUAGCGUUGUUCGGAAUUACUGGGCGUAAAGCGCACGUAGGCGGAUUUGUAAGUCAGGGGUGAAAUCCCGGGGCUCAACCUCGGAACUGCCUUUGAUACUGCAAAUCUCGAGUCCGGAAGAGGUGAGUGGAAUUCCUAGUGUAGAGGUGAAAUUCGUAGAUAUUAGGAAGAACACCAGUGGCGAAGGCGGCUCACUGGUCCGGUUCUGACGCUGAUGCGCGAAAGCGUGGGUAGCAAACAGG